GUCCCUCGGGGAUAUUUAAUAAAAUUGGAAUAAUACAGAAAAGAUUAAUAUAUCAGCGUAAGAAUAACACGUAUAAAUCGAAAAAUAAUCUAAAAUUUU
rnacentral:snRNA from 1 species